rnacentral:rRNA from 1 species
AUACGUAGGUGGCAAGCGUUGUCCGGAAUUAUUGGGCGUAAAGCGCGCGCAGGUGGUUCCUUAAGUCUGAUGUGAAAGCCCCCGGCUCAACCGGGGAGGGUCAUUGGAAACUGGGGAACUUGAGUGCAGAAGAGGAUAGUGGAAUUCCAAGUGUAGCGGUGAAAUGCGUAGAGAUUUGGAGGAACACCAGUGGCGAAGGCGACUGUCUGGUCUGUAACUGACACUGAGGCGCGAAAGCGUGGGGAGCAAACAGGAUUAGAUACCCUGGUAGUCCCCGCCGUAAACGAUGAGUGCUAAGUGUUGGGGGGUUUCCGCCCCUCAGUGCUGCAGCUAACGCAUUAAGCACUCCGCCUGGGGAGUACGGUCGCAAGACUGAAACUCAAAUGAAUUGACGGGG